AUCAUAACUAGCUCAUUUUAUGAACCUAAUAAUUUAAAAAUUUUAGUUAUCAAAAUUUAAUAGAAUUAAAUGCACAGACUAGCUAAUCUUAAUCCUCCCACUGACUUCAUCAAUCACAUUAGAGUGGACUAAAAAUAAAUCGGUCCUACUGACAAGUCAUCAAUCCUCCCACUGACUUCAUCAAGUCAUGUCGAGGAUAAAGACAAGUCAAACUAGGAACACCUAAAUUAGUCAAACUGAUUUCUUAGUAAGCAUGGGUCAACCCUAAUCAUUAAGCAAUCUGAUCAAAAUUUGAUUCACCAUGUUAGCCAGGUAAGUG
rnacentral:lncRNA from 1 species